rnacentral:rRNA from 1 species
UACGUAGGGGGCUAGCGUUGUCCGGAAUCAUUGGGCGUAAAGCGCGUGUAGGCGGUCCGGUAAGUCCGCUGUGAAAGUCGGGGGCUCAACCCUCGAAUGCCGGUGGAUACUGUCGGGCUAGAGUGCGGAAGAGGCGAGUGGAAUUCCUGGUGUAGCGGUGAAAUGCGCAGAUAUCAGGAAGAACACCCGUGGCGAAGGCGGCUCUCUGGGACGGUACUGACGCUGAGGCGCGAAAGCUAGGGGAGCGAACAGG